GGGUGAGUAACGCGUAUCCAACCUGCCCAUCACUUGGGGAUAACCUUGCGAAAGUAAGACUAAUACCCAAUGAUAUCUCUAGAAGGCAUCUGAAAGAGAUUAAAGAUUUAUCGGUGAUGGAUGGGGAUGCGUCUGAUUAGCUUGUUGGCGGGGUAACGGCCCACCAAAGCAACGAUCAGUAGGGGUUCUGAGAGGAAGGUCCCCCACAUUGGAACUGAGACACGGUCCAAACUCCUACGGGAGGCAGCAGUGAGGAAUAUUGGUCAAUGGACGAGAGUCUGAACCAGCCAAGUAGCGUGCAGGAUGACGGCCCUAUGGGUUGUAAACUGCUUUUAUAAGGGAAUAAAGUGAGUCUCGUGAGACUUUUUGCAUGUACCUUAUGAAUAAGGACCGGCUAAUUCCGUGCCAGCAGCCGCGGUAAUACGGAAGGUCCGGGCGUUAUCCGGAUUUAUUGGGUUUAAAGGGAGCGUAGGCCGGAGAUUAAGCGUGUUGUGAAAUGUAGAUGCUCAACAUCUGCACUGCAGCGCGAACUGGUUUCCUUGAGUACGCACAAAGUGGGCGGAAUUCGUGGUGUAGCGGUGAAAUGCUUAGAUAUCACGAAGAACCCCGAUUGCGAAGGCAGCUCACUGGAGCGCAACUGACGCUGAAGCUCGAAAGUGCGGGUAUCGAACAGGAUUAGAUACCCUGGUAGUCCGCACGGUAAACGAUGGAUGCCCGCUGUUGGUCUGAAUAGGUCAGCGGCCAAGCGAAAGCAUUAAGC
rnacentral:rRNA from 1 species